rnacentral:rRNA from 1 species
UCGGGUCUUAGAGGAAGUAAAAAGUCGUAACAAGGUCUCCGUUGGUGAACCAGCGGAAGGGAUCAUUACUGAUGUUUACGCUCUACAAACCCUUUUGUGAACAUACCUAUAACUGUUGCUUCCGGGCGGGGCAGGGGUCUCCGUGACCCUCCCGGCCUCCCGCCCCCGGGCGGGUCGGCGCCCGCCGGAGGAUAACCAAACUCUGAUUUAACGACGUUUCUUCUGAGUGGUACAAGCAAAUAAUCAAAACUUUUAACAACGGAUCUCUUGGUUCUGGCAUCGAUGAAGAACGCAGCGAAAUGCGAUAAGUAAUGUGAAUUGCAGAAUUCAGUGAAUCAUCGAAUCUUUGAACGCACAUUGCGCCCGCCAGCAUUCUGGCGGGCAUGCCUGUUCGAGCGUCAUUUCAACCCUCAAGCUCUGCUUGGUGUUGGGGCCCUACAGCUGAUGUAGGCCCUCAAAGGUAGUGGCGGACCCUCCCGGAGCCUCCUUUGCGUAGUAACUUUACGUCUCGCACUGGGAUCCGGAGGGACUCUUGCCGUAAAACCCCCAAUUUUCCAAAGGUUGACCUCGGAUCAGGUAGGAAUACCCGCUGAACUUAAGCAUAUC